CCUACGGGUGGCAGCAGUGAGGAAUAUUGGUCAAUGGGCUUACGCCUGAACCAGCCAAGUCGCGUGAGGGAAGACUGCCCUCUGGGGUGUACACCUCUUUUGUCAGGGAGCAACGCCGGCUACGUGUAGCCGGACUGAGAGUCCCUGAAGACAAAGCAUCAGCUAACUCCGUGCCAGCAGCCGCGGUAAUCCGGAGGAUGCGAGCGUUAUCCGGAUUUAUUUGGUUUAAAGGGUGCGUAGGCGGAAUGCCAAGUCAGCGGGAAAAUAGCGGGGCUCAACCUCUCUCCGCCGUUGACACUGGCGUUCUGGAGUGGGCGAGAAGUAUGCGGAAUGCGUGGUGUAGCGGUGAAAGGCAUAGAUAUCACGCAGAACUCCGAUUGCGAAGGCAGCAUACCGGCGCCCAACUGACGCUGAAGCACGAAAGCGUGGGUAUCGAACAGGAUUAGAUACCCUAGUAGUC
rnacentral:rRNA from 1 species